rnacentral:lncRNA from 10 species
GGGAUGCGCUUCGCUGUUCUCUAGGAGGUACCAACCUCUGGCGGUGGGUCUUGCGUCCCGGCGGAAAGCUCCGAGGAGUCCUGUAGACUUGUGGCUCGGGUGGAGCCGGCGGAAAACCCCGAGAAGCUUGAGACAGCCGUGGCUGAGGUGGAGCCGGCGUCGCUGCCCUGGAGCGUGGGCGAGUUUCCUCUUAGCCGGAGCUUCAGGGAUUGACUCAAAGACUCCUCCGCUUUUUUAGUUGUUUUGGGUGUGAAUACAGCCCGGACUAAACCUUAGUCGCCUAGACUAAACCUUAGCCUCCCAGGCUGCCAAAACAGCACAGCUUUUACAGAUGACUCUUACAUCACCAUCCCUACUCUGUGAUACUGUGUUUUUCAAAGUUUAGUGCCUGAACCAUCAGCAUGAAAUCUGCCUGAGACGGUUGUUGAAAAUUCACAUCGCUGGGCCUUGCGGCAGGAUGCCUCUUGAAGCCCAAGGUUUUUGUUUCGUUUUUUUCCAUUUGAGUUUGAAAAUAAACAGGAUACAGUAAAGCAGAGAACUUGGAAAGGGGCUUACAUUCUGCAGGAAUUUAAGUCCUGAAUCUUUGGUAUAAUCUUGACCUGGACUACCAGAGCUAACGCCGACAUCAGUGAGACAGCACCCUAAAAGUUCUGUGCUUGUUGUUCCCGAAGGCUUAGCGAGUAGAGACAUAGCAAUCUAGAGAAUUUGGGUGCAUUGAGUCAUGGCCCAACAGAUUUACUCUAUUAUUAAGUAUGAGCUAAUCUGCUUUGCGAAGCAAACAUGCUCUGUAUUUACCACCACUCCAGAUCCAUACGUUCCUCCCAUGUACUUACUUACAUACUCAAAUCAAAAGCUGGGUUUUUUAAUAGGUUAUUGCUCAGAAUCUUUGACCCCAAAAAUCAUAAGUCUGAACAAUACCUUGUUUUUUCCCACUUGAACUCCAGUUUAUUUGCCAGCUGGGGAAAUAAUAAGUAUUACAGAAGUCGUACGGUGAUCCAGAUUUA